rnacentral:rRNA from 1 species
GAUGAACGCUGGCGGCGUGCCUAAUACAUGCAAGUCGAGCGAACAGAUGAGGAGCUUGCUCCUCUGACGUUAGCGGCGGACGGGUGAGUAACACGUGGAUAACCUACCUAUAAGACUGGGAUAACUUCGGGAAACCGGAGCUAAUACCGGAUAAUAUAUUGAACCGCAUGGUUCAAUAGUGAAAGACGGUUUUGCUGUCACUUAUAGAUGGUUCCGCGCCGCAUUAGCUAGUUGGUAAGGUAACGGCUUACCAAGGCAACGAUGCGUAGCCGACCUGAGAGGGUGAUCGGCCACACUGGAACUGAGACACGGACCAGACACCUACGGGAGGCAGCAGUAGGGAAUCUUCCGCAAUGGGCGAAAGCAUGACGGAGCAACGCCGCGUGAGUGAUGAAGGUCUUCGGAUCGUAAAACUCUGUUAUUAGGGAAGAAAAAAUGUGUAAGUAACUAUGCACGUCUUGACGGUACCUAAUCAGAAAGCCACGGCUAACUACGUG